AAAAGUGUUUAGAACUUCGAUUUUAUUUGUAGGUCGCGGAAGGUUGCAAUGCGUAUUUUGAAUCGUAUUGCACUUUCCCCGGCCCAUAGAUAUUAUACGAACAGCAGCGAUCGCUAU
rnacentral:pre_miRNA from 15 species